ACCGGAUAGCCCAGGGAAACCUGGAUUAAGUACCGGAUGAGACGGGACCUGCGAGUGGCGGGUAGUCCGGGAAAAGGCGCUACGGCGCCGCCGGGGGGAUGAGUCUGCGUCCCAUUAGCUAGACGCGGGGUAACGGCCCACCGUGGCGACGGAUGGGUAGCCGGCCUCGAGAGGGUGGACGGCCACAUUGGAACUGAGACACGGUCCAGACUCCUACGGGAGGCAGCAGCUAAGAAUCUUCCGCAAUGGGCGAAAGCCUGACGGAGCGAACCGCCGCGUGAACGAAGAAGGCCGUGAGGUUGUUAAAGUUCUUUUCGGGAAGGGGGGAACAACCGUGGCAGGGAAUGGCCGCGGGAUGACGUGAAUCCCGGAAUAAGCCCCGGCUAACUACGUGCCAGCCGCCGC
rnacentral:rRNA from 1 species